rnacentral:rRNA from 1 species
AGAAUCAACGCUGGCGGCGUGCCUAACACAUGCAAGUCGAACGAGAAAGUGGAGCAAUCCACGAGUAAAGUGGCGCACGGGUGAGUAACACGUGACUAACCUACCCUUGAGUGGGGGAUAACCUAGAGAAAUCUGGGCUAAUACCGCAUAAUACCUUCGGGUCAAAGGAGCAAUUCGCUUAAGGAGGGGUCGCGGCCGAUUAGUUAGUUGGCGGGGUAAUGGCCCACCAAGACUAUGAUCGGUAUCCGGCCUGAGAGGGCGCACGGACACACUGGAACUGAAACACGGUCCAGACUCCUACGGGAGGCAGCAGUGGGGAAUUUGCGCAAUGGGGGAAACCCUGACGCAGCAACGCCGCGUGGAGGAUGAAGUCCCUUGGGACGUAAACUCCUUUCGAUCGGGACGAUAAUGACGGUACCGAGAGAAGAAGCCCCGGCUAACUUCGCGCCAGCAGCCGC